GGCUUAGUGUUUGAGAGCCCUUGAUGCGCUUGUAGAGCACCUGGUUUCAGUUCCCAGUACCCACAUGGUGGCUCACAACUACCUCUAACUCCAGUUCCAGGGAAUCCAAUGUCCUCUUCUGAACUCAGGGCACAAAUGGUACACGCACAUACAUGCAGUCAAAACACAUAAACAUUUUUUAAAAGCUCAUUUCAUCUUUCACUCUCCUCAUCCUCCCAUGAUGAAGGAAAGGGUAUACUCUGUGUUGGCUCUACAUCCCCAGAGCCAUGGAGAAGAGAAGGUGGUCAGAGGACACAUCUGGUACCUCAGGAACCGAGCUGGGCACUAGGUAGUCAGCACCGCCAUUGUACUUGCUGGCGCAUCCUUCUCCCAUCUCUGCCUGGUAGGUAGCCUGUGGAUUCAUGAAGGAACUAAACUCCUUAAUUUUUCUACACAGGGCUCUCAGGCUAUUAGGUAGGUGAUGAGAAGUUAGCUUUCCCUUGAAACUUUGGACUUGAGUUUGCUCAAGCCGGCAGCCAGUGGUAUUCUUGGGCUAUAUAGAAAUGGAAGCCUGAAAUGAGGUGGGCCAACCAGCUAGGAAUUCAGGUGUCCGUCCGUCCCCCAGUAAACAGUCUGCUAGCUUGUGCCAUUUCAUUCUUGUGUAAAGUUGUUACCCCACCCCACCGUGGCUCAGGGGAAGAGAAAGCCUCUGAUCAGAUGGUCUUUUCCACAGCCUCCUUUUGUUGUUUGCAAAGAAACAAAACAAACAAAACCCCCAUAGCUUUGUGACUGUUUCAGAAAUGGGUGAAAAGCUCUGCUCGGGCUGGAGCAAUGUCUUAGGUUUAAGGGUUGGUGUGGUGAGCAGGUUGAGCCAGACUAGAGCUGGGUGGGAUGGCACACAGCAGUGUGGUUCCCCUGAGGAGAGUCCUUCCCUCGUUCUGUCUAAGGAGGCUGUCACUUAGGAAGGCACAGGCAUGAGGACCCUGGUGCACGCUGGAGAGGAGAGAGCAAAGGCAGAAAUAAUGGGCAAACAGGGAAGCUAAGGGCUCCCUUGGAAUCUCUAUUGUAGGAGCCCUUGCCCAGGCUGGGGGUGGGGCUCAGGGGAUACAGGACUCCACCACACAGUGAGCUCUAGCCAGUGGAGUUGAGCAUUCAAUGUAGAAAGCCAUGCAUAGCAGUGCUGUGUGAGUAUGUGGAGACUUGAGUUCAUCUCAGGAUUUUGUGGUGGGAUCCCACCACUUAGAAGCUGAGGCAGGCAGAUUUCUGUGAGUUUGAAGCCAGCCUGGUCUGUAUAGUGAGAGGCAGGGCUUUGUAGAGAGACCCCCGUCUCAAAAACUUAAAAUAAAAACAAAGCCGAAGGUAAGUAACCGCUCCUGCACUCCAGAGAGCUCCAGCCUGAGGACUGCGGUCAUCAACCGCCAACACUGAUGCUCAGGCCCUGGCUCCUGUCGGCGUGCCCAUUACAUCUCUGUACAGAUUUGUAGUCCCUGCCCGUUACAUCUCUGUAGAGAUUUGUAGUCCCUGCCCGUUACAUCUCUGUACAGAUUUGUAGUCCCUUUGGAUCCAGACUGAGCCCCAAGAAGCACUUCGCCCCUGCCUGCCAGAAGAUAGAGAACUUCCCUCUUGGCUUCUUGGGACUCUGCUCGGGCUCCACUGCCUGCCUCUGCCGCUAGUGCUGGUGUUAAAAGGAUUAUAUUUGGGUGGAAUACAUACCUGGCUACAGUUUUCUUUUAUUAUUUUUCAAACCAACAAAAAUACUCACAGACCAAUUUUUAAAAAUUUGUUUAUUUUUGGGUUUUUUGUUUGUUUUCUGAGACAAGGUUUCUCUGUGUAGCCUUAGCUGGCCUGGAACUUGCUCUGUAGACCUUGCUCAAACUCACAGAGAGAAGCCUGCUUCUGCCUCUGAGUGCUGUGAUUAAAAGGAUUUGCCACCACUGCCCACUCCUAACCAAAUCUUAAAACCCUGAAACCUUUCAUUCUCCUCUCUUUUCCUGUUGUCUUUCUUUGCUGGGUAGUACAGUGCUUUCCCUGGCCUCCUUGGGCUGUGUGCUGAACAAAGUGGGAAACCCAGGAGCGGAGGAGGCUGGGGCCAGAUGGGCUGCUCCUGGCCCCUCCCAGGCCUGCUGCAGCCACCGCGAGGUCUGGGCCAUAGCCCAAGCAAGCAAAGGCAGGUUGACCAGCAACAAGCCCCAGCUUUGUUCCACGUGUGUUCUGAAGCACUGGGUCUCAUCUGAAAGCCACCUGUUCCUCCUGCCUGGCUGGCACCUUCUGGCACCAGGGCCUGGUCUUGUAGCCAGCAGACUAGUGGUAGGGAACGUAGGGUGGGCUACAGCAAAGGAGGCUGUGGUCAGCUUGAGGGGACUCAAAUUUCAACUUGUCCCUUAAAGCCCUGUUUGACUCAGGUUCUCCUAAGACUUUGGCCAGGCUCAAUUGGUCCUAUCUGUCACUGCAGUGACAGUGACUUUCUAAGUGGCCUGUAGAAAGGGACAAGCUCUCACUUUUAACUCCAGCUCUUGGUGCUUCAAGAGGUAAACAAAUAUAUGUUCUCAUUACCAGGCCACUUCCUUGAUUGGGAAUCCCAAGUGACACAUGUUGCCUAGUCAGUGCUGACAGUAUGAGAGUAACUAGCAUACCAGGAGCACGGCUACAUGCCAGGGACCGUGCUGAGCAUGAUCAAAUUUAACCCUUCCAAAGACAUAGUUAAUGCUAUCAUUUUCAGUUACAAGUAAGGAAACUGCUGGCAGUGGUGGUGCACACCUUUAAUCCCAGCCCUUGGGAAGCAGAGGUAGCUGGAUCUCUGUGAGUUCAGGGCUAGUGUGGUCUGCAGAGAGAAUUCCAGGACAGCCAGGGCUACAUGGAGAAACUCUGUCUUGAAAUAGCAAAAACAAAGCAAAACAAACCAAAAACCAAAAACCAUAACAUAGCCAGUAAGGAAGCUGAGGCUAGUGAGCAGUUGCUGUUUCAGCGGUCAUGGCCACAGAUGUGCAAGUCUGAGCACUGGCUUUGGGUCCAGAGGUGAUGCUGUUCGCUGCGGUCCUACACUGCUCAUGGUCCUGUCUCAUGCUGAACACUUUCAGUUGGGAUUAGAACUCUUUGACUGUCUUGAAAUUAUUUUCAAUUUUAAACAAUGAAUCUUGACUUGCUUCUUUGACCUGAGCAAGCCUAUUUGAAUUUUAUUUUCUGGGACCCUUUAGCCCGGCUCGGCAAACUCAGACUGUACCUGCUUAAAAAGGAAGCUCCCCCUCCCGUGUCUGCCUGUGUCCAGCUCAGAAACUCCUGGACAGGGGCUGUGGGAGACAUGGGCUCCAGAGCAGAGUCCUCUGCCGUCCCAGGUAACUGAGGGCGUCCAUUCCAGGCAGAUCACAAGGAGUAGCGAGAAGAAUGGAAGGCUGGCCCGGUUUCAGGUCUUCAUGGACCUGCCGGGCUGUGUGGCUCCUGUGAAACUCAUCCUGCAGGGAGGGCUUGAGGCGGGGUGAGAACUGCAGGUCCCAGCAGCCCGGCUGGGGAAGAACAGGGCAGGGUUAACACAUGAUAGAGCAGUCAUAUUUUUUUUUUUUCUGACAGGAAUAGGCAAAACAAACAGGCAAACAAACAAACCCAAAAAGCUCUGCAUCUGACCUGACCACUCCCAAUGAACAAUGUACCAAAAUGAAGCGACUGCCCAUGGUUCUGGUCCACUUAGUUCGACUCUCAGAAAUCUAGAUGCUGCCCAGAAAAGUGUUGUUAGCUUUUUUUUUUUUUUAAAGAUUUAUUUAUUUAUUAUAUGGAAGUACAUUGUAGCUGUCUUCAGACACUCCAGAAGAGGGCGUCAGAUCUCGUUACGGAUGGUUGUGAGCCACCAUGUGGUUGCUGGGAUUUGAACUCUGGACCUUCGGAAGAGCAGUCAGGUGCUCUUACCCACUGAGCCAUCUCACCAGCCCGUGUUGUUAGCUUUUUAAAGUU
rnacentral:lncRNA from 1 species